GACAGAGGGUGCAAACGUUGCUCGGAAUCACUGGGCGUAAAGGGCGUGUAGGCGGGAAGGAAAGUCAGAUGUGAAAUCCCCAGGCUCAACCUGGGAACUGCAUUUGAAACUCCCUUUCUUGAGUACCGGAGAGGAAAGUGGAAUUCCUGGUGUAGAGGUGAAAUUCGUAGAUAUCAGGAGGAACACCAGUGGCGAAGGCGGCUUUCUGGACGGUACUGACGCUGAGACGCGAAAGCGUGGGGAGCAAACAGG
rnacentral:rRNA from 1 species